GUUGAAUUGAGUUGAGUUGAGUUGCUUUAAAUAAUAUCACACAUUUUCUAAAUUAAAUUUUAUUAUUACCUUUCAGUUUUAAACAAUUUUAUUUUUUAAUUUUUAGUUUUAUACUUUAAGUUUAUUUGAUGUGGCAAGCUUCUAUUGGUCAAUACAUAUUUUAGUUAAUUAAACUGAAUUUCAUUUCACAAAUUUUUAUUUUACUUUUAACUUCUAAAUUUCAAUAGUCUAUCAACAGUCUUUUUUUUUUAACUUUUCAAAUCAAUUUCUAAUUUAUUCUUAUUGUUUUAUUUUAAGUUUUAAAUAUUAUAGACAAAAUCGACCAGGCCUUAAUUCCAAA
rnacentral:misc_RNA from 1 species